rnacentral:snRNA from 2 species
AUACCUUUCUCGGCCUUUUGGCUAAGAUCAAGUGUAGUAUCUGAUAUGUGGCUCAUCGGGUCACACGGUGUUAACUCUAUUUUUAAGGGAUGAUGUCCGUUAAGAUAGCUUGCUAUCUGGGCUUUCAAGAGUCGCUCAUGCGUUGCACUGUAGCAUGGGCCCGGCUCAUCCCAC